UAUGUUGUACCAAAAAAAAAAAAGUUUGAUGCUUUCUUGGUACGAGGUUUUUUUAUAUUAUAUAAAGUGAUAAAAUAGUUUGUAUAGCUAGCUUGCUAUAUACAAAAGAAGAAGAAAAAUGACUACGAUUCUCAAGUUUGUGAAUGUUAUGAUUUUCUUAAUUUUCCUACUUUUUGUUGCAACAAACUCUAGUGAUAAUUGUACUAAUGUCUUCGAUUGUGCACAUACUCAAUGUUCAUUAUAUGCAAUGCCGUUUUGCUUGACGAAUAAAUGUAUAUGCGUUUAGCAACAUUCAUACCGUGAAGCUAAUCAGAUGGCGGAUGCAUUAGUCAACCAUGAUUGUUCUCUCAUAAAUGGUUGUGUUUAUUUUGAUGAUUGUCCUCAUGAUUUUAUAGGAAUAUCAUGAUGGCGGACAAUUUGGGGUUGCCGCCCUCGUUUAGCUUUUUUGUAGUCUGGUUGGAUGUUAGCCAUCUUUGUAAUAAAAAAACGUAUAUGCAUUUUGCAGUUAAAUAAAAAAUAAUUCUUACUUUCUAA